rnacentral:tRNA from 1 species
GGAGAUAUAGCUCAGUUGGUAGAGUGCUUGCCUUGCAUGCACAAGAUCCUGGGUUCAAUCCCCAGUUCUACUA